rnacentral:rRNA from 1 species
ACGGGUGAGGAAUACACAGGAACCUGCCCUUUGAUGAGGAAUACUCUUGAGAAAUCGAGAAUAAUACCGCAUAAGUCCCUACGGGGAGAAAGGCGGCUUUAAUGCUGUCGUCAGAGGAUGGGCUUGUGUGCUAUCAGCUAGUUGGUGGGGUAAAGGCCUACCAAGGCUAUGACGGCUAACCGGCCUGAGAGGGUGUACGGUCACACUGGAACUGAGACACGGUCCAGACUCCUACGGGAGGCAGCAGUGGGGAAUAUUGCGCAAUGGGCGAAAGCCUGACGCAGCGACGCCGCGUGGAGGAUGAAGGUCUUAGGAUUGUAAACUCCUGUUAAGCGGGAAGAAAAGCCUACUAGUAAUAUGAGUAGGUUAUGACGGUACCGCUAGAGAAAGCACCGGCUAACUUCGUGCCAGCAGCCGCGGUAAUACGAGGGGUGCAAGCGUUAUUCGGAUUUACUGGGCGUAAAGGGUGUGUAGACGGUUUGCUAAGUCUGUUGUUAAAUACUCUGGCUUAACUGGAGAUCAGCGGUGGAAACUAGCAGACUAGAGGGUGGGAGAGAGAAGUGGAAUUCCCGGAGUAGCGGUAAAAU